CUGCAAGGGAGUUGAUAGAUGGUGGCUAGCGGUAACAGAACCUUCUUUUGUCUUUGCUGCAGACGAGUCCCUGCACAUCACUUGACCCCCUCCUCCAGGAGGAAGCAGGAUCAGCGCCCGGUGCUGCCCCAGCGCCGGCAGAAGAACAGCGGCUCUUGGAAGCGCGACCUGCUGGGAGAUCGUCGGGGAGAAGAGGACGCGCCUUCUGCGCCGAGGGAGGUAUGUCAGUGUCUCUGCUGCCAGCCCAUCGACCCGCCUCCCCCAUCGCCACACAACCUCACCUCCCCCAGGGACCUGCAGGCAGGCCUAUUUGCAAACAGCAAGCACAGGCAAUGAACACAUCAGGUAAUUAAAU
ensembl:lncRNA